UACGAAGGGGGCUAGCGUUGCUCGGAAUCACUGGGCGUAAAGGGUGCGUAGGCGGGUCUUUAAGUCAGGGGUGAAAUCCUGGAGCUCAACUCCAGAACUGCCUUUGAUACUGAGGAUCUUGAGUACGGGAGAGGUGAGUGGAACUGCGAGUGUAGAGGUGAAAUUCGUAGAUAUUCGGAGGAACACCAGUGGCGAAGGCGGCUCACUGGCUCGGUACUGACGCUGAGGUGCGAAAGCGUGGGGAGCAAACAGG
rnacentral:rRNA from 1 species